UUAUAAAUUAUGCGGUCUUAGAUCUUAGCUAACUGAUUAUUACACAUUUUCCGGUCAUUUAGAGUCGCCUCGUCAAUUUCCGUACACUACGUUAAUGACUGUCUAGAGACAACUUUAAGAAAGAAAACAAAAUAACUUACUGAUGAGUUACGUCGAAGAAAAUCCCGAAAAAAUCUUGUACGGUCAAUAUAACGGUAAC
rnacentral:lncRNA from 1 species